UAGGGAAUCUUCGGCAAUGGACGAAAGUCUGACCGAGCAACGCCGCGUGAGUGAAGAAGGUUUUCGGAUCGUAAAACUCUGUUGGUAGAGAAGAACGUUGGUGAGAGUGGAAAGCUCAUCAAGUGACGGUAACUACCCAGAAAGGGACGGCUAACUACGUGCCAGCAGCCGCGGUAAUACGUAGGUCCCGAGCGUUGUCCGGAUUUAUUGGGCGUAAAGCGAGCGCAGGUGGUU
rnacentral:rRNA from 1 species